rnacentral:rRNA from 1 species
CAGCCGCCGCGGUAAUACAGAUGGUGCGAGCGUUAAUCGGAUUUACUGGGCGUAAAGCGUGCGUAGGCGGCUUCUUAAGUCGGAUGUGAAAUCCCUGAGCUUAACUUAGGAAUUGCAUUCGAUACUGGGAAGCUAGAGUAUGGGAGAGGAUGGUAGAAUUCCAGGUGUAGCGGUGAAAUGCGUAGAGAUCUGGAGGAAUACCGAUGGCGAAGGCAGCCAUCUGGCCUAAUACUGACGCUGAGGUACGAAAGCAUGGGGAGCAAACAGGAUUAGAUACCCCCGUAGUCCCUGUCUCUUAUAA